CCCUAGACAGGGGGAGUAACUAUUGGAAACGAUAGCUAAGACCGCAUAGGUACGGACACUGCAUGGUGACCGUAUUAAAAGUGCCUCAAAGCACUGGUAGAGGAUGGACUUAUGGCGCAUUAGCUGGUUGGCGGGGUAACGGCCCACCAAGGCGACGAUGCGUAGCCGACCUGAGAGGGUGACCGGCCACACUGGGACUGAGACACGGCCCAGACUCCUACGGGAGGCAGCAUG
rnacentral:rRNA from 1 species